rnacentral:rRNA from 1 species
UACGUAGGGGGCAAGCGUUAUCCGGAUUUACUGGGUGUAAAGGGAGCGUAGACGGAAUGGCAAGUCAGAUGUGAAAGGCAGGGGCUUAACCCCUGGACUGCAUUUGAAACUGUCAGUCUGGAGUGCCGGAGAGGUAAGCGGAAUUCCUAGUGUAGCGGUGAAAUGCGUAGAUAUUAGGAGGAACACCAGUGGCGAAGGCGGCUUGCUGGACGGUAACUGACGUUGAGGCUCGAAAGCGUGGGGAGCAAACAGG